rnacentral:rRNA from 1 species
AACGAACGCUGGCGGCGCGCCUAAUACAUGCAAGUCGAGCGAGAAGGUGUAGCAAUACACUUGUAAGCGGCGAACGGGUGAGGAAUACAUGGGUAAUCUACCAUCGAGUGGGAAUAACCAGCCGAAGGUUGGCUAAUACCGCGUACGCUUCCGAGUCUUCGGGCUUGGAAGGAAAGCCGCACUGUGAGUGCGGCGCUCUUUGAUGAGCUCAUGUCCUAUCAGCUUGUUGGUAGGGUAACGGCCUACCAAGGCUUUGACGGGUAGCUGGUCUGAGAGGACGAUCAGCCACACUGGCACUGCGACACGGGCCAGACUCCUACGGGAGGCAGCAGUAAGGAAUAUUGCGCAAUGGGCGAAAGCCUGACGCAGCGACGCCGCGUGGGGGAUGAAGGUCUUCGGAGUUGUAAACCCCUUUACCGGGAGGGAAGAUGGAGGCGAGCAAUCGUUCGGACGGUACCUCCAGAAGCAGCCACGGCCAACUUCGUGCCAGCAG